GGGCACCAUAGAACUUCAUUGUUCCUUGAGUAAAUCUACUGGUUUUGACAGCUGUAAAACUGACAAAGACAUACAUAUCAACUGGACAACUGAGGAUGAUGUUCCAAUAACUGGUAAUAGAUUUAGAUUUGAAAAUCCAUCUGUCUGCUUGUCAAAGCUCAUCAUUACCAGGAAACUGACCGACCAUCACAGAAUAUGGAAAUGCCAAAUAAUGCAAAAUGGUGAGGUUGAAGCCUCUGGUAGUUACAGGACAACAGUAAGAGAUGGGCUGGAGGAAGUGUUCACUGCUGUUGGUGAGUCAGUGUCACUCCUAUGUAGAAACACUUCCUCUCUCAGACUUGGAGACAGAAUAGAGUGGACACUGAAUAUCAAAAUGCUCAGUGAUCUGGUACCUGAAAAUGGCCAAACAAAUACAUCUCAUGUGAUCAAAGACUCAUCCUUAGUAAUCAGCAAACUGACUCCUAUGGAUGCUGGUGAUUACCAGUGUAUGGGCUCCUCUGAUGAGCAAAGAGUGUUGCACAGAAUAAGGGUUCACACCCUCCAUGUUGCAGCAAAUACACAGCCAGUAAAAGGAAAUCUCUCUUUGAUCUGUGUGCUUACUUGUGCUGAAAUAUGUGAAGAAAACUUCAAUCUAACUUGGUCUGGAAGCAACCAAGAGCGAUGGCAAGGCAGACUAUUUCAUGUUAAAACACAUUGAUCAAUGAGCUUCUUCUCCCAGUUUGGCCAGUUAGCUCUGAUGCAAUAACCUGCUCUGUGUACAGAGAAGGUUCAAAGAUGGCAUCAAAAAGUUUGAGCUCUGCUAAAUCUCUGCAGGUCUCCUGGAGUUUAACCCUUCGUCUUGGCCUUAUAGUAGGUCUAGCUGCAGUUGGAUUUAGCAUCUACAUGAAGUGGAAACACUGCAAUAAUGCAGAGCCAUGAGGAAACACAUCAAGGAAGAAGAAUCACAAGAAACAGAAGACAAAUUUACAGAGAAGCACUCACUGCUGAUGUUCUACAGUUUUUAAAGUCAUAAUGCCAAAAGAAAAUACAUAAUGUUUUGUGUUAAUUCAUAUGCUGUUAUUAAAUACUUUUUUAUUCUUACUUAUUUUAGCAAGACAAAAUGUUAAAUAUGUUUUGUAAUGCAAAACAUAUUUUUGCAUUUUUGCAAAAGCUUAAGCUCACCUGGCUGACAUUAACUGUCUCUACAUUUUAAGGCCUAAAAUUAUGAUUCUGGACCAUCAAUCACGUGGCUCAGUGGUUGAGCCAAAUUGUCAGUGUUUGAUUUUACAAUGUUUUAUUUUUCAAUACCACAUCUUUGUUUCUGUCAUGUAAGCUGUCACCUUUUAGCUACUUAUUCACGUUUCCAGCAUAAAUGUAAACUUCUGCAGUCGUGCUGUUCCUGGCUUUGCUUCUGAAUAUUCAGAGCAAUAUGUUUGUGUAUUUUUGGAAAUAAGACAACAUAUAUCAAAAUAUAAUAAAAAGCCAAAUGUA